CUUUCAGUGGCUUUUGAAGGCAGCGCGUGUUAUCUGGAGUAGGCGGUGGUGCCGGCGGCCGCUCGUAGCGCGCUCUGAGCCCCAUGUAGAGUGCCCCCCUCCCCCUUCUAAAUUUGCGGGGAACGUCACGCAACACAAGAUGGAGGAUUCGUUGGCACAUGAAUAUUUUAGAUGUUGAACUGCAUCUCAACUCUGCUUCACACCAGGCGAAGAAGCAGGAACAAGGAAAAACACUACUCACUACUGGAGUCAAGACAUUUUAAUAGCCUCGGGGAUUAUGCUAAUAUUUAAUAAUCAAUCUUAUUCAGUACCACAUUUUUAGUUUGUGAUGUAAUUCGUAGCAAAACCAAGUUAAAUGCUUCUUGGGGUUAUGGAGGAAAAUCGAGUUAUGUGGCUACAAAAUCCUCUGUUUGAAUACCCAGACCUGCCAUCAGCGAGUCUAUCUCUCAGUCUAAUAUUGGCGUUUAAUAUUUCUGUCUUUCCUGUCAUAUCAUCUUCUCGAAAUGCGAUCUCUUCCAUUGGAGAGUAAAGACUUUGACUACAGACAUUUCCAAUUAUUAGUAAUGGGUCACGGGGAUUGCUAGCCAUUUCCAUAAAAGCAAUAAAAGGAGCGGUUGGAUUUUA